AUUGAACGCUGGCGGCAUGCUUUACACAUGCAAGUCGAACGGCAGCGCGGGCUUCGGCCUGGCGGCGAGUGGCGAACGGGUGAGUAAUACAUCGGAACGUGCCCAGUAGUGGGGGAUAGCUCGGCGAAAGCCGGAUUAAUGCCGCAUACGACCUGCGGGUGAAAGCGGGGGAUCUUCGGACCUCGCGCUAUUGGAGCGGCCGAUGGCAGAUUAGCUAGUUGGUGGGGUAAGGGCCUACCAAGGCGACGAUCUGUAGCUGGUCUGAGAGGAGGACCAGCCACACUGGGACUGAGACACGGCCCAGACUCCUACGGUAGGCAGCAGUGGGGAAUGUUGGACAAUGGGCGAAAGCCUGAUCCAGCAAGGCCGCGUGUGUGAUGAAGGCCUUCGGGUUGUAAAGCACUUUUGGCGGGAACGAAAAGGACUGUGCCAAUACCACGGUUCGAUGACGGUACCCGCAGAAUAAGCACCGGCUAACUACGUG
rnacentral:rRNA from 1 species